rnacentral:rRNA from 1 species
AGAGUUUGAUCCUGGCUCAGAGUGAACGCUGGCGGUAGGCCUAACACAUGCAAGUCGAACGGCAGCACAGGAGAGCUUGCUCUUAUGGGUGGCGAGUGGCGGACGGGUGAGGAAUACAUCGGAAUCUACCUUUUCGUGGGGGAUAACGUAGGGAAACUUACGCUAAUACCGCAUACGACCUUCGGGUGAAAGCAGGGGACCUUCGGGCCUUGCGCGGAUAGAUGAGCCGAUGUCGGAUUAGCUAGUUGGCGGGGUAAAGGCCCACCAAGGCGACGAUCCGUAGCUGGUCUGAGAGGAUGAUCAGCCACACUGGAACUGAGACAUGGUCCAGACUCCUACGGGAGGCAGCAGUGGGGAAUAUUGGACAACGGGCGCAAGCCUGAUCCAGCCAUACCGCGUGGGUGAAGAAGGCCUUCGGGUUGUAAAGCCCUUUUGUUGGGAAAGAAAAGCAGUCGGCUAAUACCCGGUUGUUCUGACGGUACCCAAAGAAUAAGCACCGGCUAACUUCGUGCCAGCAGCCGCGGUAAUACGAAGGGUGCAAGCGUUACUCGGAAUUACUGGGCGUAAAGCGUGCGUAGGUGGUUGUUUAAGUCUGUUGUGAAAGCCCUGGGCUCAACCUGGGAAUUGCAGUGGAUACUGGGCGACUAGAGUGUGGUAGAGGGUAGUGGAAUUCCCGGUGUAGCAGUGAAAUGCGUAGAGAUCGGGAGGAACAUCCAUGGCGAAGGCAGCUACCUGGACCAACACUGACACUGAGGCACGAAAGCGUGGGGAGCAAACAGGAUUAGAUACCCCUGGUAGUC